rnacentral:miRNA from 1 species
AGGCCAGGAUGUGGGCAUUAUU